rnacentral:misc_RNA from 1 species
AAGUCGUAACAAGGUCUCCGUUGGUGAACCAGCGGAGGGAUCAUUACAGAGUUGCAAAACUCCCACACCCUUUGUGAACGCACUGAAACUACUGCUUCGGCGGGCAGCUCUUCAGGGGUAGCCCGCCGGAGAAGCACUAAACUCUUGUAUUUUUGGCUUCUCUGAGUGAUUAUACAAUGAAUCAAAACUUUCAACAACGGAUCUCUUGGUUCUG